rnacentral:lncRNA from 1 species
AAUGUUAUAAUUGCCCACAGCAAAUCACAAUUUUAAUAUCUAAUCUAAUCUAAUCUAAUUUAAUAUUUGCUCUUGAUUUGCUCCGAUUGAACUAUUGUGUUGCAAAGGAAAUAGUCCACAUUUAUAAAGUGCCCACGCCACCAUUGAAAAAGUUAAUUUUGAAUCUAAAUUCGAUUUUAUUUGUAACAAUUUUGUAUUAGACUAUUAAUUUGUUCAUGAUAGUUUGUAAAAGAAGUUUGUAUCCCUUGCAUGCUGCGUUACUUACUAAUUUAAUGUAUGUGACUUUUGUAAUGGAUAUUAAUGUAAGAUAUAUUUCGAAUUUUACUUUUAUUUGAAUUUUUUUAUUUUAAUAUGAUUAACUCAAAAUCAAAAAUAAAAAAGAAUGUUUUAAUUAUUCGGGAAUCGGAGACCCUCGGGGAUCCCCUGUUAUUAUUCGGGAAGGGGAUGGAGAUUCUCUCAAGUAAUUCUGACGGGGGCGGGGACGGGGAGGAGACAGGAACAUACGUAAAAUAUUAGAGAUGAGUACGGGGAGAUUGAUCCCCUCCCCUCCCCUUCCCAUUGCCAUCCCUAGUGUUGAGUUACGUUAAUAAUAAUAAUAAAAUUUUCCGACAAUGUUUAUUUAACGGUCCAAAUUCUUCUUCCUUGAGCUGUAUAGCUGGGGACGUAGAGUUUGGCUUGGGCUGAUUUUGUCAGAUUGUUGGAUCAUUAUUAUACUCUUGAGUAGGAUGUCUCGGCCCAUUUACAAAAAAUUUAGUUAAAUUCGAGAAAUUUAUUGAUAAUAUCUUUAUAAUUUUUUGAAGGGUAAAAGUUUAUUUAAUCUCUAUAUUUUAAGAUUAGCGUCUGUUUAGUCCAUAUAUUUUUAAAAAAUGUCUCGAAACAUCCACGUCAUUAAAGUAUUGAUAUUCAUACCGUUACUUUUUAUUUCUUUUGGCUUACUUUUACAAUAAUACCCUUUUUAUAAUAAUUUUUUGUUUGGACAUUA